GCAGUCGAGCGGCAGCGCGGGGCAACCUGGCGGCGAGCGGCGAACGGGUGAGUAAUGCAUCGGAACAUGUCUUGUCGUGGGGGAUAGCCCGGCGAAAGCCGGAUUAAUACCGCAUGAGCCCGAGAGGGGAAAGUGGGGGACCGCAAGGCCUCACGCGAUUAGGUUGGCCGAUGUCCGAUUAGCUAGUUGGUGGGGUAAAGGCCUACCAAGGCGAUGAUCGGUAGCUGGUCUGAGAGGAUGAUCAGCCACACUGGGACUGAGACACGGCCCAGACUCCUACGGGAGGCAGCAGUGGGGAAUUUUGGACAAUGGGGGCAACCCUGAUCCAGCCAUUCCGCGUGAGUGAAGAAGGCCUUCGGGUUGUAAAGCUCUUUUGUCCGGAACGAAACGGGUUGCGUGAAUAGCGCCGCCUACUGACGGUACCGGAAGAAUAAGCACCGGCUAACUACGUGCCAGCAGCCGCGGUAAUACGUAGGGUGCGAGCGUUAAUCGGAAUUACUGGGCGUAAAGCGUGCGCAGGCGGUUUUGUAAGCCAGAUGUGAAAUCCCCGGGCUUAACCUGGGAAUGGCAUUUGGGACUGCAAGGCUCGAGUGCGGCAGAGGAGACUGGAAUUCCUGGUGUAGCAGUGAAAUGCGUAGAUAUCAGGAGGAAUACCGAUGGCGAAGGCAGGUCUCUGGGCUGACACUGACGCUCAUGCACGAAAGCGUGGGGAGCAAACAGGAUUAGAUACCCUGGUAGUCCACGCCCUAAACGAUGUCGACUGGUUGUUGGGGGUUUGACACUCUCAGUAACGAAGCUUACGCGUGAAGUCGA
rnacentral:rRNA from 1 species